AUUGAACGCUGGCGGCAUGCUUUACACAUGCCAGUCGGACGAGUGGCGAACGGGUGAGUAACAUCUCGGAACGUACCGAGUAAUGGGGGAUAACUAAUCGAAAGAUUAGCUAAUACCGCAUAUUAUUCGAUCGGCCGAUAUCGGAUUAGCUGGUUGGUGGGGUAACGGCCGACCCAGGCGACGAUCCGUAGCGGGUCUGAGAGGAUGAUCAGCCAAACUGGGACUGAGACACGGGCCAGACUCCUACGGUAGGCAGCAGUGGGGAAUUUUGGACAAUGGGCGCAAGCCGGAUCCAGCAAUGCCGCGUGUCUGAAGAAGGCCUUCGGGUUGUAAAGGACUUUUGUCAGGGAAGCGGUACCUGAAGAAUAAGCACCGGCUAACUACGUGCCAGCAGCCGCGGUAAUUC
rnacentral:rRNA from 1 species